AUGUCGAGCUCUCUUCGCCGUCGACCGGCUGCCAGACCGAUGGCCAAACCAUCCGCCAAGGGUCUCAACAGCUCUAACCGAUGGUCCUCUCUAGCCAAUCUGGGAGAAGAGGAAGGGCAUCAUCAAGAUGAUCGGCUCAGCAAUUUGCCUAAUGAUUUGUUGCUUAAUAUCAUAGAGCGACUUGGUACCGCAGAUGCCGCAAGAACCAGCAUCCUUUCCAGACGGUGGAAGCCAAUCCCUGCUAUGCUCUCCAAAAUUUGUCUGACGGUUGGUUCCUCGGACUAUGACUAUGACAGGUCAAAGUUGACAUGUGACCAUGUAGUUCGGGCCAAUGCCAACAUGCUUCAAGCAACCAGGAACUUGCUGGAAAACAGGACAAGUCUAUACCCCAUUCAUCUCCUGCGCCUGCAAUUUUUCUUGGGAGAUGAAUCCGAUAGCAUUGGCCGGACUGUUGCCGACACCAUAUCAACACAAAAGGUUGGAUCUGUCGAGUUAACUCUCCUGACAAAGAAGGGAGGCAGCCAAUGCUCCCCUGACGAUUUCCUCACUCACGGGAAACGGCUCAAGUCAUUUGUUGAUGCUUGUCCUAACACAUUCAGUGGUCUUACACGACUAAGCCUAGAGAAUUUAAGGCUAGGUGAAUCAGAUUUCCCUAAAAUUUUGAGCAUAUCCAAGCAACUGGAGUUCCUCCGCUUGUGCAACUGUGACAUGGGACUGCUGUCUUUGCUAGAAGUGGAACACCCGCAACUCCGUGAACUUGAGAUUCUCAAGAGUGAUUUUGAGAGAGUUGAUCUGAAUUGGCUGCCUAAGCUCACAACAUUAUCUUUUGCAUGUUGGAUAUCUAAGCAUGAUCCUUUGUCUUUUGGUUAUGUCCCGUUGCUCCAGACCUUGAGUAUCAGCAAUACAGCUCUUUCAUAUCAUAAGAUGCUCAAGCUAAGUGAGUUACUUGGCAAAGCCACUAUAAGGGACCUGCAUUUGAACUUUGAAAGCGAAAAGAUUUGGGUUAAACCGGAAGGUCCAAGAGAAUUAUCUCAGGUGUUCGACAAACUAAGGCUUGUGAGUUUGGCUGACAUUUCUGAAGAGUGCGAUCUGACUUGGACAAUGUUCGUUCUUCAAGGCGCACCCUCCCUUCAGGAGCUAUCCAUCAAGGUGUGGGAUCAUCAAUGUGAUAUGGUCGAGGACGAGGAGCUUAGGAAGAGGCUCAAGUAUACCGAGGUGAAGAAGGAUGCGUGUGCACGGUGGGAAGCACCUGCAUCGGGUUUCAAGCACCACAAUCUGACUGUGCUGAGAAUCUUUGGGUUUCAGUCAGAGGACAAAUUUGUGGAUUAUAUCGCGGGUGUGAUAGAAGCAGCCGUCGGUCUUGAGGACAUAUACUUGUAUGAGAAGCCAGCAUGUGAGACAUGUAAGCGCAAUACCAAGGACAGCUACCCACGGACAAACAAGGAGAGGAUUGCGCUUAGGAACAUAUUCAACUGGGAGAUGUGCUCGCUUGCAAGGAUUCACUUCCCGAGUUCAAGAAACUGA
rnacentral:rRNA from 1 species